UACAGAGGUGGCAAGCGUUGUUCGGAAUUACUGGGCGUAAAGGGCGCGUAGGCGGCCUACUAAGUCAGACGUGAAAUCCCCCGGCUUAACCUGGGAACUGCGUCUGAUACUGGGAGGCUUGAGUAUGGGAGAGGGAUGUAGAAUUCCAGGUGUAGCGGUGAAAUGCGUAGAUAUCUGGAGGAAUACCGGUGGCGAAGGCGGCAUCCUGGACCAUUACUGACGCUGAGGCGCGAAAGCUAGGGGAGCAAACGGG
rnacentral:rRNA from 1 species